rnacentral:misc_RNA from 1 species
AAGUACCUUGGUGAAGGAUGAUUCAACACCAUGUGAUCAUCUUAGAUCUGCAUGUAUUAUUGGGAACAAGAAUGCUGAUAGUUCUUUAGGUACUUUAAGGAGCAUGAUGGACACAAUUUUUAGCAAGGAACAGCAUGAAAGAGGAUCCGAUGACACACUGGUUCGAAAAGGGCAUAAAACAACUGUCAGCAAAAGAAGGGCCAAAACUGGUGAUAACCAAAGGCCAAGACCAAGGGAUAGACAGCUGAUCCAAGAUCGGGUGAAGGA